UACGGAGGGGGGCUAGCGUUGUUCGGAAAUACUGGGCGUAAAGCGAACGUAGGCGGCUUGGCAAGUCAGGGGUGAAAUCCCAGUGCUCAACACUGGAACUGCCUUUGAAACUGCCAGGCUUGAAUCCUGGAGAGGCGAGUGGAAUUCCCGAGUGUAGAGGUGAAAUUCGUAGAUAUUCGGAAGAACACCAGUGGCGAAGGCGACUCGCUGGACAGGUAUUGACGCUGAGGUUCGAAAGCGUGGGGAGCAAACAGG
rnacentral:rRNA from 1 species